AUUGCUUCUUGGCUGUCUGGCUAAGAUCAUGUGUAGUAUCUGUUCUUACCAGUUUAAUAUCUGAUACAUUCCCUAUCUGAGGAUAAUAUAAUAAUAAAUAGAUUUUUGGAGCAAGGAGAUGGAAUAGGAGCCUGCUCUGUUCACUCCACACAUUGACCUGGAUUGCAGUACCACCAGGAAUGGUGCACCCUCC
rnacentral:snRNA from 1 species